CGGCGGCGGCGACAGCGGCCCCCAGACGUCCUCCUCGCGGCUCGCGGCGGCUCGCGGCUCACAAGGUCGGAGCGGGGCGCGCCGGAGAGAGAGGCCACCGGAGAGAGGCCACCGGGACGCGCCGCCCGAGAGCCAGAGCCACAGCAGAGCGCAGCGGGCGUGGCCCCUCGGGCUGUGGGAACCGCGGGGCGGGGGCGCCUUAUCGCCUACGCCGGAGCGUCGCAGGCCUGGAGACGCCUGCCCUCGUCACCCUCCUCCCGGGGCCCCACCCCUGUCGAAACUCCGCUGGGUUCCCAGCGGGGUAAAGGAAGCUCCUCGCCCCGGGCCUCCUGAGAGCUGGGGACGGCCGCGCCCUCCUGCUCCGGAGAGGACUGGGGAUCCACCGAGGAGCCACUCCUGUCGCCGAGGAUGCGGGGCGCGCGGCCAGGGGAGGCAGGGGGCCAGCGCGUGCUGUUGAAGGACCCCACCGAGGGCCAGAGGUGGGCUGAGGAGACACUGGGAGCCCGCAGGCCUGCAGACCAGAUAUGGCCGGAGUCCCUCGUGGGAUGGCCGGCUGCCCUGAUGGUGCGGACAUGUACACUCUAGGGUGAUGAAGAUAAACACAUUCCACAGCAACCUGUGUUCCUGCGACCGGUCGCGCUUUUCCCCCGGGGCCGUCCCCCUGGUCUGACCCUCCCAAGCCAAUCUCCCUUCCCUUCCCUCCCCAGACAAGCAGGAAUGUGAGGGCAUCCCAGACUCUCCCCAGUGCCCGGUCCCUCUGCUCUUGCCGCCAGCUUUCUCAUUGCUGGGGAGAAGGACACCUCUGGGGUGCAGGCAGGAGCAGGCUGCUGGGCCAGACACUGAAGGACCCCAUUCCAGUGGCUCUGGCUUCCUCCUGCUGCGUGCGCCCUUUCCGGGCUGGAGGUUGUGGGCUGCUGCUGGGGGGGGGGGGCUGUAGAGAGGCAGAAGACCUCACCCCACUUUCCCUCCCUGCCUUGGUCCUGGGGGCUGAGCCCACAGUGGGACAAACCCCAGCCCUGCCACCCACAAGCAGGUGACACUGGCGAGUCCCUUGUGCUUUGGGAAUACCUUCCUCUUCCUCUUCAUCUUCCUCUGCACGGGCUGCAGAGAGCUUGUCUGGGGCAGAGCUAGCGGUGGGACUGUCAGUAGGGAGGGGCCUGGAGGAUCCCUGUGAAGCAAACUGGAAAGCCCUGGAGGUCCCUGGGGCUGCUGGGAGGACAGGCGGCCCCUACUCAGCAGACAGCUGACUGGAACUUCCGGGCACCACAUCCUGCUGCACGCCCAGCCUCCCUGUCUCUCCAGACAGAAGAUGGGGAAGGUCCCAUGUCCAUUCCUUUGGGUCAGGGAGACCCUGGCCAGGGUCCACUUCCCCCGCCCCCACCGACUCAGCUCCCCUAGGAGAUGUGACUGGGGGAGGCUUCGACGUCCUGUACUUGGCUUCCUCUGCCCCUCUUCGUGGUGCCGGGACACCAUCAGCCUACUCGGCCCUGGAUGACUGGCCAGCUGUCUGCCGAGGCUCCCCUGCAAGUCUCACGUUGGGGAGCUCCUCAGUGCUGGGUGAGCUGUGAGGACGGGCCUCCUCACCCUGGACUAGCGCAUGGUGCACAUCACUCUCCCCGCUCAGACACUGACCAACUCCUUUCCCAUGGGAGGAAAGCCUGUCUCUCUGAAGCCCGAUUCUCCUGGUCGUCAUUAAAGUUGCUCAGCCAGUAUGCUCAGUUGGUGACUCACUCAACGCAGAGGCCCAGGCUGGAACACGGAGGAGCUGGAAUCUGCGCCUGUCUUCGGCAGCAGCUUGCGGCAAGGGAGAAGAGCUUGGAAAGGAGGGCCCACCCUGCACCUGUGGCUUUGGGAGGCAGGCAGUGCCUCCCUGCCCAGGGGAGCCGAGCCUCGGCCCCUCCCAGGAGUGCCCUGUGUCUGAGUCCAUGCAGGGCCGCGC
ensembl:lncRNA